rnacentral:lncRNA from 1 species
CUCACAUUCUGGAGAUAAACUUUGUAAGGACUGUGUGUGUUUUGUGUAAAUAGUUUCUGAAAAAAGUGUCCAGCUCAAACGCUGAUUGUUGCGUCAUUGUAAACUGUCCGUUCUAAAUGAGUGUUCUAAAAGAGUGUUAGGCUAUAUAGUGCACUAUGUUUGACCAAGGUCCACAGUUAAUUGUAGUGCACAAUUUAGUGUUCUAAUCACACGGCGCUUCAGGGACCACUGUAGAACGAUCACACCCCGUGUGACAGGCAGACAGGUUAGGGUUAGGAGGUGUUACUAGACAGACAGACAGAGAGGUUAGGGUUAGGAGGUGUUACUAGACAGACAGACAGACAGAGAGGUUAGGGUUAGGAGGUGUUACUAGACAGACAGGUUAGGGUUAGGAGGUGUUACUGAACAGACAGACAGGUUAGGGUUAGGAGGUGUUACUAGACAGACAGGUUAGGGUUAGGAGGUGUUACUGAACAGACAGACAGACAGACAGACCAUCAGGUAAAGUUGUGGAGAUGAGGGAAUAUGUGAUCAGAACCCCUCCAGUCUGGUUAACCACAGUUAGGUCCAGUAUGGACUAUCAAUACCAGUCACCAUUUACAAUGUGACCCAGUUCAAUGGGUCUGAACAGAACUGGGGGAUGUCAGACAUGAAGAUGUCUAAACACAACUGGAAUAUCAUUAGUUUGUGAUUCAUUGUUAAUGGAUUUUCAAUCAGGAACACAGAGGAACAACUUGACAACAUAACAAUGUGUGGGUGGGUGGAGAUCUAAUAUUGUUUUGUGACAAACACUAAAGCAUGAUAUUCUAAUAAAUCUACACCCUAUUCCCUACGUAGAACACUACUUUAGACCUGGUCAGAAGCACCGUAGUGCACUACGUAGGGAAUAGGGAACCAUUUGGAACAGAGACC